GAUGAACGCUAGCUACAGGCUUAACACAUGCAAGUCGAGGGGAAACGAUAGAGAAAGCUUGCUUUUUCUAGGCGUCGACCGGCGCACGGGUGAGUAACGCGUAUCCAACCUGCCCAUCACUUGGGGAUAACCUUGCGAAAGUAAGACUAAUACCCAAUGACGUCUCUAGAAGACAUCUGAAGGAGAUUAAAGAUUUAUCGGUGAUGGAUGGGGAUGCGUCUGAUUAGCUUGUUGGCGGGGUAACGGCCCACCAAGGCGACGAUCAGUAGGGGUUCUGAGAGGAAGGCCCCCCACAUUGGAACUGAGACACGGUCCAAACUCCUACGGGAGGCAGCAGUGAGGAAUAUUGGUCAAUGGACGAGAGUCUGAACCAGCCAAGUAGCGUGCAGGAUGACGGCCCUAUGGGUUGUAAACUGCUUUUAUAAGGGAAUAAAGUGAGUCUCGUGAGACUUUUUGCAUGUACUUAUGAAUAAGGACGGCUAAUUCCGUGCCAGCAGCCG
rnacentral:rRNA from 1 species